rnacentral:rRNA from 1 species
UGCAGUCGAACGAGACCUUCGGGUCUAGUGGCGCACGGGUGAGUAACGCGUGGAAACCUACCAUUCUGUACGGAAUAACGAUUGGAAACGAUCGCUAAUACCGUAUACGCCCUGUGGGGGAAAGGUCCGCCGCAGAAUGAGGGGUCCGCGUCCGAUUAGCUUGUUGGUGGGGUAAAAGCCUACCAAGGCGAUGAUCGGUAGCUGGUCUGAGAGGAUGAUCAGCCACACUGGGACUGAGACACGGCCCAGACUCCUACGGGAGGCAGCAGUGGGGAAUAUUGGACAAUGGGGGCAACCCUGAUCCAGCAAUGCCGCGUGUGUGAAAGAAAGGCCUUAGGGUUGUAAAGCACUUUCAAUGGUGAAGAUGAUGACGGUAGCCGUAAAANAAGCCCCGGCUAACUUUCGUGCCAGCAGCCGCGGUAAUACGAAGGGGGCGAGCGUUGUUCGGAAUUACUGGGCGUAAAGGGCGCGCAGGCGGCCAAUCCAGUCAGGUGUGAAAGCCCCNGGCUUACCUGGGAACUGCACUGAUA